AGAAGAAAAAAAAAAAGUGUAGGUCAGAUCAGGACCUUUCCUCCACUCACUUCAUUCGUGGAUGUACUAUGACCACACAAUACGCUCCCCUGUUACCUCCCUGACCUCAGCUCCUCCACUGGCCCCUUCAUUCUGCUCCAAGCAUACUGGUUUCGCUCCUUGUUCCUUCAACACAAGCAUAGACCUACCUGCCUCAGAGCCUUUGCGUUUACUGCUUCUGCCGCCUGAAAACUCUUCCCCAUACAUCCACUCUGUCGGCUCUAUCAGGGCUCUGCUCAAAUGUCACCUUUUCAGAAAGGCCUUCCCUGCCCUUCCCAGGUAAAGCAGGCUGCUAUCUCCUGUCUACGCUCCACCCCCUUCCCCUGCUUUAUAUUUCUUCAGAGCAAAUAUGGCCACGGACUAGUGUAUUUGAAUGUUACCUGAUCUACCAGAAUGCAAUCUCCACGAAGGAGCAACUUUUUGGCACUCCCAUUUUGCAGAAGAGGAAACAGGCUGCCUGGGUCUGCUGAUUCCUGCCCUUGUGAGCUCACUGCCCCAUACUCCCAUGCUUGUACACAAAUGGAGGUGCUGUUACAGAAGAAGUUCUGAGCCUGAUUCUGCUGCUGCCUCUCCAGCUAACCUUAGGUACAACUCUCCUCCUCCCAAGGCCUCAGGGUCAGCUAAAGUCAAUGGAGUUCACACCCCAAGCAAGAGAAGAGCUUGCCCUAGCCUUCAUCCAGCCUCAUGUGUUGCAAUUUGGCUAGAAAUUGUUCAGGAGAAUCUUAAUUAGCAUUCACCUGUGGUGUUGUGAAAAAAGAAAAAACAAAAAAAAAACACCUCACUUCAGGUUCCAAAGUCUGAGUUGGAGUAAAAAGACUCUUGGAAUCCAGGAUCCAACAUACAACUGCUAAGCCUGUUUCUUCAUCUGUAAAAUGAGAAUGACAAUGUCUACCUCAUAGGAUUGGUUUGACGGUAGAGCGUGUUAAAGAACUCUUAAGGAUCUUUUGUCAGACCCAGCUUGACCACAAGAUUGAGCUGAAUCUGAAUAAACAUUCUAGAACACUGCCAGAAAAGCUACAUUUACUAUCUUAUCUGACCUAUGUAAUUUGCAGAGUUCUUUUUACAUGGGUUACUUCCAAAAUCAAAAUUAACAUUAUCACUGAUGCUCAGUUAAAACAGCGUAGUAACUUCUGAUUAUUUCUCUCAUGAAACUACCUAUUUAGUUUUAUACAGUCAUGUACCACAUAACGAUGUAUGAACUGCACAUACAACGGUGGUUCCGUAAGAUGAUAAUAGAGCUGAAAAUUUGCUAGCGCCUAGUGACAUUGUAGUGCAAUGCAUUACUCACAUGUUUGCAGUGAUGCUGGUAUAAAGAAACCUACUACAUUACCAGUCA